UACGGGGGGGGCAAGCGUUGUUCGGAAUUACUGGGCGUAAAGGGCUUGUAGGCGGCCAACUAAGUCAGACGUGAAAUCCCUCGGCUUAACCGGGGAACUGCGUCUAGAUACUGGAUGGCUAGAGAUUGGGAGAGGGAUGCGGAAUUCCAAGGUGUAGCGGUGAAAAUGCGAUAGAUAUCUGGAGGAACACCAAAUGGCGA
rnacentral:rRNA from 1 species